UUCUUCCACCUGCUCCUGCAAAAUACAAAAGAAAGAGUAAAUAUGUCCCUUCUGGGCUACUGUGUCAACAUGGCAGUGCAACAUGGUGGCCUCCACGUGGUGGGCCACUCCCAUGUACAUAUGAAGGGCUCAUUCAAAUCUAAUAAAAACACAUUGGUUCAUAUUUGCAGGUAAUUAUACACCUAUGAACAAAUGGUUAUGAAUGUUAUAUUCUGUUUCUGCUAAUAAAUCCCCAGUAAAUCCUACACACUGUAGCUUUAAUGAGGUUAAAGACA